CUGCUGUAGGGUCCCCGCAUUCAUCAAGUUGUCUGCAGUGUUCUUUUCAUUCAACAUGGACUGAAAAGAACGAGGCCUGUUUUAGGCUUGAGAGACCGGAGUGCCGGGGAUUCAUUCACCCACGUUGGCGAAUACGGCUUGGAGUAUGUAAUAUCAUGGGUCGAUGGCUGUGUUAUUUUGAAUGUUAAAGAUUGUGCUACAGAGUGGCGGUUGAACGUUCACGAAUGGAAUUUUUUCUUGGAGAAUUUAUGCCCCAUGCUAGACGGCGUCCGGGGUACAUGGCAGGCGGGAACCCAUGUAUUCCAAUGGACCUUUCAGUAUGAAUCGACGAUUCAUCGCAUGGAUGCAAACUAUCAUACGAAGAGACCACAGGAGUUCAUUUUUUUCAGACGCUGUGUUGAUACAGACGAGCUACCACAGUGCUAUGAUAUGCAUUGCGUCGGUAGCUCUCCUCUACGCACCAGUGUUUUAGAAGCUGCUGAUUAUUUUGAUAAUGUCUUUUUCAUGCAGUGGGCUGAUUUGUCUGCACUACGUGGAAUUUUUGCGGAGAUUGAUUCUAUGGCUAAGACGAAUGAAGAACCAUGGAGCACAGCUGAUGAUGAAUGCCGAAUGUGCCUGUUUGAGUCGUCUGGGUUUGAUGAGGGGGUACAUGCACAGGUCAAUGAUGAACAUGUGCAAGGUGGGGGUGUGGCUAUGGAGACUGCUGAUUUAAAGGCUGUACAACCCGGACCCCACUGGCUUCAAGAGUAUGCCAUCUAUCUGACCGGAAUUUGACCUUCCUACACGUCGGAGAGGACAGUGAGCUGGAGGUGGACACUGCUAUGAGAGACGACGGAUGGCCUGUAUCAAUACAGAUCCGUUUAAACCCUGCAUCGCUGGCUGUUCUGCGAUUUACCACGGGGCUCUGUGUGGUGGCCAUCAUCAACCAUCAGAAGCAAGCGGACUGCUGGGGAUGCCAGUGUGAUUGCCCAAGUCAACGACGCCAUUCAUGCCUGCAGGGAGCGACACAUCAUCACUACGAAUCCCACUACCAUGACAUUUGUGUCAUCCUGGACAGACACCCCUUCCUGUUACUUUUAGAAACUGUUCUAAAGAAGACUACAGGGUUGACUGUGUCCCCCGGAAAAAUCUAUGGUGUGGUCGAAUCUUAUCUAUGUGAUUUAAUAUGCAAUACCUAUAAUACUGAAAAACUGGAUUUAAUGACCACCGAAGGGGUGUCCGAUGAACAUCUGCUUCUGAUACAUGAAGCCAUACAAAUGUGGCGUCCUACAUUGUCAUUAGGCAAACCAAAGCCUGCUGGUGGGUGGCGUUUAUAAUGGGGGUGUUGUUUUCUUAUGCGUAUGAUGCGGAUAGCAAGUAUGUAUCAGAUAGACUAUCCGUUUUGAUGUAUGCUGCCAUAGAAAAUGAUACAUAUGUCCAGCAUAAUGCUUAUAUCAAAUGCACGUAUAAGGGUUGGAAUGAU
rnacentral:lncRNA from 1 species